AAAAAAACAAAAAAAAUUCGGUGCCUCAUGCUGGAAUCGAACCAGCGACCUUCUGUUUACUAGACAGACGCUCUGCCACUGAGCCAAUGAGGCGCUGGGUG
rnacentral:tRNA from 1 species